rnacentral:rRNA from 1 species
AUACGAAGGGGGCUAGCGUUGCUCGGAAUGACUGGGCGUAAAGGGCGCGUAGGCGGCACAACUCGUCAGGCGUGAAAUUCCUGGGCUUAACCUGGGGGCUGCGUUUGAUACGGUUGGGCUAGAGGAUGGAAGAGGCUCGUGGAAUUCCCAGUGUAGAGGUGAAAUUCGUAGAUAUUCGGAGGAACACCAGUGGCGAAGGCGGCUUACUGGUCCAUUACUGACGCUGAGGUGCGAAAGCGUGGGGAGC